rnacentral:rRNA from 1 species
UACGUAGGGCGCGAGCGUUGUCCGGAUUUAUUGGGCGUAAAGAGCUCGUAGGCGGCUUGUCGCGUCGGCUGUGAAAACCCGCGGCUCAACUGUGGGCGGGCAGCUGAUACGGGCAGGCUGGAGUUCGGUAGGGGAGACUGGAAUUCCUGGUGUAGCGGUGAAAUGCGCAGAUAUCAGGAGGAACACCGAUGGCGAAGGCAGGUCUCUGGGCCACUACUGACGCUGAGAAGCGAAAGCGUGGGGAGCGAACAGG